rnacentral:misc_RNA from 1 species
GUGAGUCAUCGAAUCUUUGAACGCAUAUUGCGCCCAUUAGUAUUCUAGUGGGCAUGCCUAUUCGAGCGUCAUUUCGACCCCUAAGCCCCUGUUGCUUAGCGUUGGGAAUCUACGGCGUAGUUCCUUAAAGUUAGUGGCGGAGUUAGGGUACACUCUCAGCGUAGUAAUAUCUCUCGCUCGUGUGGUGGCCCUGGCUGCUAGCCGUUAAAACCCCUAUAUUUUCUAGUGGUUGACCUCGGAUUAGGUAGGAAUACCCGCUGAACUUAAGCAUAUCAAUAAGCGGAGGA